rnacentral:rRNA from 1 species
UGCGCAGGCGGGGAUGUAAGUCAGUGGUGAAAUACUGCCGCUUAACGGUAGGGUUGCCAUUGAUACUGCAUUUCUUGAGUUUGGAUGAGGUAGGCGGAAUGUGUGGUGUAGCGGUGAAAUGCAUAGAUAUCACACAGAACACCGAUUGCGAAGGCAGCUUACUAAUCCAUGACUGACGCUGAGGCACGAAAGCGUGGGGAGCGAACAGGAUUAGAUACCCUGGUAGUC